UACGUAGGUGGCAAGCGUUGUCCGGAUUUACUGGGCGUAAAGAGCGCGCAGGCGGUCGGAUCAGUCGAAUGUGAAAGCCCCCGGCUCAACUGGGGAGGGUCAUUCGAUACUGUCCGACUCGAAGGCAGGAGAGGGAAGCGGAAUUCCCGGUGUAGUGGUGAAAUGCGUAGAUAUCGGGAGGAACACCAAUGGCGAAGGCAGCUCGCUGGGACGUGACUGACGCUGAGACGCGAAAGCGUGGGGAGCAAACAGG
rnacentral:rRNA from 1 species